GAGGCGGCGGUUUGUCGGCUACACUUUAAUAGUGGACGUCGGGUUUCACAGGGAUCACUCUGAAACACAAUAUAUCUCUUGAUCAAUGUUUCACUUCAUUACAGAGUUCCUCCAGGAGUGGAAACCA